UACGGAGGGGGCUAGCGUUGUUCGGAAUUACUGGGCGUAAAGCGUGCGUAGGCGGAUUAUUAAGUUAGGGGUGAAAUCCCGGGGCUCAACCUCGGAACUGCCUCUAAAACUGGUAAUCUAGAGAUAUGGAGAGGUAAGUGGAAUUCCUAGUGUAGAGGUGAAAUUCGUAGAUAUUAGGAGGAACACCAGAGGCGAAGGCG
rnacentral:rRNA from 1 species